AAAAGUCUUAAAAAUACACCCAAAUUUUCAUAGAUUUUUAAAAGUCUUAAACGAAUACACCCAAAUUUUAAAACCUGAUCGAAUACACCCCACUUCAUUGUGAAUUCAGCAUUUACCAAUUGAUCAGCAAACUACUCGUUUCAUUCAGUUCAAAUUCCUCUACAGAACUCCAACUUUUCAGUUCAAAUUCCUCUACAGAACUCCAACUUGAUUUUCUCUACAUAUGUCCUCUACAGAACUGCAAUCGGUAAUCUCAUUAUUUCUGUAAAAUUUUCAUCCCCUUUAUUUCAUCACAAUUAUUUCUCAAUUAGAGUUUAUGCAGAAAUUCUCAUUCUCGAAUUCAAACACCAACAUCAUCAAUCCACGCACAUAAAAUAGCUCACAAUUUACAAUUCAUCACCAUUGAAAAGAAAGAAAUUCAAAUAAAUAAAAAUAGAAUAAAUUUUACUAAUUUCACAGAGAAGGAAUUCAGAAAUAGGGGGUAAGGGAACGACUGUUAUCAAAUCGGAAAAGUAAAGGGAGGGGGAGUUGGACGGCGGCGGCGUUGCUGCUGCACUGUUGACGGCCGAAGAAGACAGGCAAAGAGGUAGUGGCUUCGGCGUUCUUCGUCGAUGGCCGUCUGGCUGAGAAAGCGAGAGAAGAGAGAGAGGCCGAGAAUUGAGAGGCGGCUGGGCAGCGCCAGAUCUGGAAAAGGGAAGAGCGGCGGCGUAGUGGUGUCUGCCGCCUAUUUCCGGCAGGAACAGAGAGCGAUAGAUAGAAACAGAGAGAGAGAGAUCAGGAGAAUGAGAGAGGGGAGAGAAGGCAGUGGCCGUGCCGCUGGCCGGCGGCAGGUGCCGAGUGAGAGGGGGGUCGGUCGAGAGAGAGAAGAGAGGCUGUAUUGAGUUCUGUGUGUGUGCUGAAAGUGCGUUUAGUGUGUGUCAAAUUAGGUUAAAUGAUAGUGGGUAUUUUUUUAAUUUUAAUUUUAAUUUUAGGGGUAAGUUUGUCAUUUAAUGUAAAAACAGGCUAUUAUUUAAUUUUUUUUAUUUGAGCAGUUAAAUUUUAAUUUUACUAUCCUAAAGUAGCUAAUUUGAUAUAUUGACUCUAUUAGAAAUGUCAUUUGUAAUAUAAAUAUAGUAUCAUUUAUUAAUGCAAAUAAUAUUUUUUAUUAAGAAAAACUGUGUCAAAGAAAAAAUAAGAAAAAUAACGAAAAAAGAAAGAGAUGAAGAAAAAAAACAAUUUAAAACUAUAAAAAGAGUCCAAAAAGAAAAAGUUAAAACCGAUAUAAUUUAAUAAAAAGAAAAGAAGAAGAAGAAGAAGAAAAAAACGAAAAAACAAAAAAGAGAAGAAAAAAAAUGAUUUUAAAUAAAUACGCGGCAAACAGGCCGAAUAUGCAAAUCAAGAUCAAUGAUAGCACUAUAAUCAUUAGACAAGCUAAGCGUCCGAUGAUGAUGCGUUGUGAAGUGUCAUAGAAAAAAUGUGUCCCACGUCUUGCAUGAAAC
rnacentral:lncRNA from 1 species